GUGUGUUUGUGUCUGACUGUGUGUGUGUAUGUGACUGUGUGUGUCUGUGUCUGACUGUGUGUGUCUGACUGUGUGUGUGUUUGUGUCUGACUGUGUGUGUGUGUGUGUGUGUCUGACUGUGUGUGUGUGUGUGUUUGUGUCUGUGUCUGUGUAUGUGUCUGACUGUGUGUGUGUGUGUGUUUGUGUAUGUGUCUGACUGUGUGUGUGUGUUUG